GUUGUGCUCGUGUUUACGCCUUACACGGCCUAACCUAUAAAUGUCAGAUCGUUACGUGCCUUUCGUCUGUUUUCAGUUUUUAUGGAUUCUAUUUAUAUUAAUUGCAGGUUGUUGUUUUUGUGUGGCGGUUGAAUCAGGGGUUCAAACAGGCGGUAGUCCAGGUGGAUAAUUUGUAAUUUCGAUAUUAAUCUGGGUUGAUUAAGUGGUCGUUUGUCGAUUUCUGGGGCUGUUUCGAACAUCUCUUUGUCUGGUUUUCGUGCUUCUAAAACGUGUGUGUGAGUAUGGGUUAUCCAUGAUUUCCGAGGAGUUUUUAUAUCGUUUUGUUAUUUGGGACAUGGAUCAGGAUGUAUUCUUUUUAAUUGUUCCUCUUGUG